CACGUAGGGUGCUAGCGUUGUCCGGAUUUAUUGGGCGUAAAGGGCUCGUAGGCGGCGUGUCGCGUCGGAAGUGAAAGCCCGCUGCUUAACGGCGGGUUGGCUUCCGGUACGGGCAUCGCUGGAGUGCGGCAGGGGAGACUGGAAUUCCUGGUGUAGCGGUGGAAUGCGCAGAUAUCAGGAGGAACACCGGUGGCGAAGGCGGGUCUCUGGGCCGUUACUGACGCUGAGGAGCGAAAGCGUGGGGAGCGAACAGG
rnacentral:rRNA from 1 species